rnacentral:rRNA from 1 species
AGGGUUUGAUUCUGGCUCAGGAUGAACGCUAGCGGCAGGCCUAACACAUGCAAGUCGAGGGGCAUCGGGGUUGAAGCUUGCUUCAACUGCCGGCGACCGGCGCACGGGUGCGUAACGCGUAUGCAACCUACCCAGAACAGGGGGAUAACACUGAGAAAUUGGUACUAAUACCCCAUAACAUACUGAAAGGCAUCUUUUGGUGUUGAAAACUCCGGUGGUUUUGGAUGGGCAUGCGUUGUAUUAGCUAGUUGGUGAGGUAACGGCUCACCAAGGCGACGAUACAUAGGGGGACUGAGAGGUUAACCCCCCACAUUGGUACUGAGACACGGACCAA